GAUAAUAACCUUUUUUAAAAAGUUUUUUUUUUUUUUAAGAUUUUAUUUAUUUAUUUGACAGGCAGAUCACAAGUAGGCAGAGAGGCAGGCAGAGAGAGAGGAGGAAGCAGGCUCCCUGUUUAGCAAAGAGCCCAAUGCCAGGCUCGAUCCCAGGACCCCGAGAACAUGACCUGUGCUGAAGGCAGAGGUUUAACCCACUGAGCCACUCAAGUGCCCCUUUUUUUUUGUUGUUUUUGUUUUUUAAGUAUUCUCUCCACCCAACCCGGGGCUUGAACUACAAUACCGAGAUCGAGAGUCCCUCGCUCCACCAACUGAGCCAGCCAUGCACAAGAGGGAAAAGAAACCUGGCACCACUCCUCUUGCUUCUGGGAUCAAAGACGGUCUGGCUCCGGCUCCUCUGGACCCCAGGCUUGGCCUCCCCCCACCUCCAUCCCUCCCAUCAUCUGAUGGAUUCCGGAACCGCUGGGAGCUUAGGGAAGAAGAAAGAUCAUCUGUCUAAAGGCAUCAACAUCGCUUGCCUUUAAAAAUUUUUUUUUUUUUUAUUUUAAACCUUCCCACAAUUCAAAUGUUUCUCUUAUUAUCUUCUGCCGAGGGAAAAAAUUAAUAACACGGCGCAAUAUAAAACACUAAAUUAAAGGCAUUUUGGAACCAGCA
rnacentral:lncRNA from 1 species